ensembl:rRNA nuclear encoded rRNA 5S 188
AGCUAUGGCCACACGAUCCUGAAUACACCCAAUCUCCUCUGAUCUCAGAAGCUAAGCAGGGUCGAACUUGGUUCAUACUUUGACCAAGUAAGAUGGUCAUUUUUA